rnacentral:pre_miRNA from 1 species
GGAAAUCUAUAAACUACCGUUGGAUCGAAAAUAGAUAUCUGAAAUUCGUCCACAUCAUCAUGAGUAAAAAUUUUACUUCCAGUAAAAUUUCUAUUUAUGAGUAAACCUACGAGAAUAUAUUUUACUUGUGCUACGAGAAAAUUUUUUACUCGUGAUGACGUGGACGAAUUUAUGAUGUCCAUCUAUUCAAUCCAACGUUAGUUUCCAGGAUUUU